rnacentral:rRNA from 1 species
UAGGGAAUAUUGGACAAUGGGUGAGAGCCUGAUCCAGCCAUGCCGCGUGCAGGAAGAGGGCGUUAUGCGUUGUAAACUGCUUUUUGCCAGGGGAUAAAAAAGACCGUGCGCGGUUAAUUGAAGGUACCUGGUGAAUAAGCCACGGCUAACUACGUGCCAGCAGCCGCGGUAAUACGUAGGUGGCAAGCGUUGUCCGGAUUUAUUGGGUUUAAAGGGUGCGUAGGUGGCCCUGUAAGUCAGUGGUGAAAUAUCUCAGCUUAACUGAGAGGGUGCCAUUGAUACUGCAGGGCUUGAGUACAGAUGAGGUAGGCGGAAUUGACGGUGUAGCGGUGAAAUGCAUAGAUAUCGUCAAGAACACCGAUAGCGAAGGCAGCUUACCAAGCUGUAACUGACACUGAGGCACGAAAGUGUGGGGAUCAAACAGGAUUAGAUACCCGUGUAGUCCCUGAGCGGGCUGGCAAGGCGCAU